CAGCACGCUGCGCGCCAGAGUUUUGAAGUCAGAGUCUCCGCAGUGAUCUGGGAGUAAGCACCCUCCCCAGGCCUGCGCCUCUGACAUGUUUGGAGGGGUCGCAUGCUGCCCCCUUGCCCCUCCCCCCCAUUCCAUCACCUCUGGGCAUGCCCACGACACUCCCAUAACACGCCCAUAAGACAGUGCAUCCCUAGCUACCUCCCAGUCACCGCCCAGGAACGACAAUACUUUUCAGAGACCAUGCGUUUCAAUAACUGCUGCAAUCCUGUGCUUACACGCCGCAGGACACAUGCACAGUUGAAUAAGAUCAACCAUUCGUGUGAAUAUCGGCCCUGAGUGUUAAGGCAAUAAGUAUCUCUUAUUGUUAAGCAAAAGCAUUACAGAAGGUGCUGGGAUGUCUACACUGUUUAUAGGCACUUGUACAAGAAGAGGGACAAUAAGUGCAACUGGUUAUUAUGUUGAAAAUAUGAUUUCUUUUUAAGUGCAAUGCAUGCCAGCACAUCUUGGCACCCCUGAGCUAAUGGAACUGCUAGCACCUAUCUAAAAAUAACUAUCUGAGUAAUAACGCUUCACAGACCUGGCCGCUUAUAUCUGUAACCAGAACAACUGCAAGGAGAGACUGUGAUGGGUCUGAGUCAUGAUCUGUCUAACAGAAGUCCGGUGAGCAGAAGACAGUACUUCAGUAUGCCUACUUCCACAAUUUCUGCACCCUCUGCAAAUGAGCAGUACAAUUAAAGAUGGUGAUGAUGACUUAAUAGAAAUUGAGGAUGCAAGUGUGGAAGUGGAACAGUAUGAGAGGGAUAUUUGUGCCACCUCUUCCAUGUUGUCACUUGUGAUAGAAAGGUUUCUUUGUGGACAGGCGGAACUGGACUUGAAUAAAUGCAUCUGUGUCACUUCACAAUUAUGAUUUUAGAAUUUCGAGGAAAACAAUUUCAAACAUUAACAAAUUGAUUGGAAUGUGACGGGACAGGAAAGCAAAUAUACUUAUGGGGUAAACCAGACUGCAUCACCAUGACAACCAAUGUCAUGACGUCGGCCCGCCUGUCCGGCGCCGUUUGAUUACGUCAUCCAGAAGCUCCCACUGUGUUAGCAGUGGAUAGCGGGCGGUCAGCGGCGUGGGACAGCAAAGACUCUACGUAUUACUGGAGAUGACAGCAAAGGGAGACAUUGCUACCAGUCACUUCAGGUUAUUAUUGAACAACAACAUCUAAUACAGUUCCUAGCUGUUCCUUUAUAUUACUACAGUACCUGUGAAUAUGUACAAGAAAAUGUAUUCCCACUGCUUUGCUAUUUCUUUUCCUCAGUUGUUUUGCAACAUCACCAAAUGUAUUUAUUUCUCAGCAGUUCUGGCAUUAAAGCUCAGUCAAGAAUAUAUCACAGUCCAAGACUUCAUUUAAAGCUGUAUUAUUGU